CAAACAAAAGGGAAAACAAGUGGUUUAGGUUCAGAGCCAAUGUCAUUAUUUCUUUUGACUGUGUUCGUUCAUUUUAACUUAUUUUCUUUUUCAAUUUGCAUUGCUCAGUUUUUUUUCUUUGAUCUUCUCUUUUUUUUCAACUGAGUGCUCUUCCUUCGGUGAAUGCUUCUUUCGAACCAUCGACUAUAUUUUCUUUCGUUUUCUUCUCUCUUUUUUUAUGGUCGUUUUUCU
rnacentral:lncRNA from 1 species